rnacentral:tRNA from 1 species
GCAGGAGUAGCGAAGUGGUCAAACGUGCUAGGUCCAGGGCCUAGUGGCUUAGUGCCUUCGGGGGUUCGAAUCCUCCCUCCUGCA